GCCGCACCUACAACAACAGCUGCACCGACAACAACGGCCGCACCUACAACAACUCCAGCGCCAACAACACCUGCAAUGAUUCCUGCACCAACAACAACUCCUGCGCUGGCAGCAACUAUUGAAGCUCCCACAGUUGUGAUCCUCUCAACAGACAUCGAUGAACCAUAUUUAGAAGAACUCAAUAAUACAAGCAGCACGCAAUAUAUUGAUCUUGAGGCAAGAUUCAUAGAUGUGUGUAAUGGCAUCUUCAGUGCCAAAUAUGGCAGUUUCAACGUCUGUUAUGUGAUUGAAUUCAGCGAAUCUUCCAACACAUCCCGAGCGGGUCAGACUAAUGCAAAGUUCGGGGUUGUGUUCGCUCAAACUAAUUUGACUUAAGAAAUCCCACAGGCUGCAGAUGUUGCAAAAAUCUUAAUAGACGCUGUGUCUAACAGUACCUUUAACGUCACUUUUGUUGCCGCUUCCGUCACUGUACUUCAAACAACUGUAUUAAAUUCGACAACUACAUCCCCCAACAUUGCUGCAACUACAGCUGCCAGUGCUGCAACUACAGCUGCCAGUGCUGCAACUACAGCUGCCAGUGCUGCAACUACAGUUACCCCUACAACAAGGCUAUUGGUUACAUUCAGAUCUCAAGGAGAGACAUUUACAAGUGAUUUGCUGGUUCCAUCAUCUGCAACGUUUCAAAAUCGAUCCGCAUUGAUAGAGUCAACACUCAAACCUUUACUCAAAGAAGCCUUUCCUUCGUUCCACAAUAUUUCUGUGAUUUCAUUCAGCGAAGGAUCAAUCAUCCAAAACGUAGUCAUUGAAUUUUUAUCAACAUCUGCUCCUAAUGGCACUGAGAUUGGAAAGGUUUUUGCCGCUGCAUCUUGUAUCAUCAGAACCUUCAACAUUGACACAUUCUCCAUUUCUGUGGAUGGCACACUCUUUACACAGGUUUCAAGUGGAGUAAGCCACAACAUCAGUCUCAUCACUGCAUCCUUCCUUGUGCUGAUGUCAUGGAUCCUGUCAAGCCAGCAAUAGCAUCAUUGCUGAUUACCGUUUGAAUUGGCUUUAUUGCAUGACUGCCAUCACUGGCAUGAAAAAUUACUUCUUGAUUCUUGUCGAAGAAGUCUUGUACAGCGUCAGAUAUACUUACUAUCACAUUUUAUUUUGAAAUUACGGAACAUAUUUAUGACAGUGGAUUAGGUUUAUGUCAAUCUUAACACGUUUCUGGGUGGGAAUGUCCAGGAUCCUUCACCGAGCAGAACAACA